CCUACGGGGGGCAGCAGUGAGGAAUAUUGGUCAAUGGGCGCGAGCCUGAACCAGCGAAGUAGCGUGAAGGAUGACUGCCCUACGGGUUGUAAACUUCUUUUAUAAAGGAAUAAAGUGAGGCACGUGUGCCUUUUUGUAUGUACUUUAUGAAUAAGGAUCGGCUAACUCCGUGCCAGCAGCCGCGGUAAUACGGAGGAUCCGAGCGUUAUCCGGGUGUAUUGGGUUUAAAGGGAGCGUAGACGGGUUGUUAAGUCCGUUGUGAAAGUUCGCGGCUCAACCGUAAAAUUGCAAUUGAUACUGGCAGCCUUGAGUACAGUUGAGGUAGGCGGAAUUCGUGGUGUAGCGGUGAAAUGCUUAGAUAUCACGAAGAACUCCGAUUGCGAAGGCAGCUUACUAAACUGACACUGACAUUGAGGCUCGAAAGCGUGGGUAUCAAACAGGAUUAGAUACCCGUGUAGUC
rnacentral:rRNA from 1 species